UUGAUCCCUGGCUCAGAUUGAACGCUGGCGGCAGGCCUAACACAUGCAAGUCGAGCGGAUGACAGGAGCUUGCUCCUGAAUUCAGCGGCGGACGGGUGAGUAAUGCCUAGGAAUCUGCCUGGUAGUGGGGGACAACGUUUCGAAAGGAACGCUAAUACCGCAUACGUCCUACGGGAGAAAGCAGGGGACCUUCGGGCCUUGCGCUAUCAGAUGAGCCUAGGUCGGAUUAGCUAGUUGGUGAGGUAAUGGCUCACCAAGGCGACGAUCCGUAACUGGUCUGAGAGGAUGAUCAGUCACACUGGAACUGAGACACGGUCCAGACUCCUACGGGAGGCAGCAGUGGGGAAUAUUGGACAAUGGGCGAAAGCCUGAUCCAGCCAUGCCGCGUGUGUGAAGAAGGUCUUCGGAUUGUAAAGCACUUUAAGUUGGGAGGAAGGGCAGUAACUUAAUACGUUGCUGUCUUGACGUUACCGACAGAAUAAGCACCGGCUAA
rnacentral:rRNA from 1 species